GGACAGGAAGCAGGAGGUAGAUGGUGAUUAGACAGAUGGAUCCUUCACUCUCUAAAACUAUAUAGUCUUCUACAGAGAGCAGUGAUGCAAGCAGAAAGGUUAAUUACAUUAACUGUGUGAAGACAAAUAGAUAAACAUAUAACAAAUCCUUUACAUUCAUAAAGAAUUUGAAUUGAUAUUCAAGGCAAAAGACAUGUAGAAGGAGUUGUGACAGUAACAUAUUUUGAAAAGAUGAAAUUGGUCGUUUGUCUUCGAAUGGCUUGGGGAGGGGUUCAGAGACAAGGCAUUUUGCUAUUUUAGCAGCAGCUGUGGAAAGGGAAUGGGAAGGGUGAAUUAGGGGAAAUUUGUUUCUGCAUAGGGAUGCAGUUCAGAGUCUUAAUGGGAAGACUGAAUGAAGUGAACUUGGGUCUCUUUGCCUGGACUUCACAAAGGAACAUAAAAGACAAGUACCAGGAAAAGACAUAUUUAUAUGGAAGAAAAAAAGGUGAAAACCAAAAUGACCCAAAUGAAAAGAAGAUAAAUAUCAUUCCUCAAACAAUACCUUCACAUCAUAGUUGGAAAAAGUGGAAAGAGACAGAAAACGGGUAA
rnacentral:lncRNA from 1 species